GAUGAACGCUGACGGCGUGCCUAAUACAUGCAAGUCGAGCGAACAGACGAGGAGCUUGCUCCUCUGACGUUAGCGGCGGACGGGUGAGUAACACGUGGAUAACCUACCUAUAAGACUGGGGUAACUUCGGGAAACCGGAGCUAAUACCGGAUAAUAUAUUGAACCGCAUGGUUCAAUAGUGAAAGACGGUUUUGCGGUCACUUAUAGAUGGAUCCGCGCCGCAUUAGCUAGUUGGUAAGGUAACGGCUUACCAAGGCAACGAUGCGUAGGCGACCUGAGAGGGUGAUCGGCCACACUGGAACUGAGACACGGUCCAGACUCCUACGGGAGGCAGCAGUAGGGAAUCUUCCGCAAUGGGCGAAAGCCUGACGGAGCAACGCCGCGUGAGUGAUGAAGGUCUUCGGAUCGUAAAACUCUGUUAUUAGGGAAGAACAAAUGUGUAAGUAACUAUGCACGUCUUGACGGUACCUGAACAGAAAGCCACGGCUAACUACGUG
rnacentral:rRNA from 1 species